CAGCAGCCGCGGUAAUACGUAGGUGGCAAGCGUUGUCCGGAAUUAUUGGGCGUAAAGGGCUCGCAGGCGGUUUCUUAAGUCUGAUGUGAAAGCCCCCGGCUCAACCGGGGAGGGUCAUUGGAAACUGGGAAACCUGAGUGCAGAAGAGGAGAGUGGAAUUCCACGUGUAGCGGUGAAAUGCGUAGAGAUGUGGAGGAACACCAGUGGCGAAGGCGACUCUCUGGUCUGUAACUGACGCUGAGGAGCGAAAGCGUGGGGAGCGAACAGGAUUAGAUACCCCCGUAGUCCCUGUCUCUUAUAC
rnacentral:rRNA from 1 species